GAAAGCUAGACCUGCAGAGUGAAGAAAGCUGGUAAUAGAUGUCUGACAAACUAAAGAAAGACUUGUGUUACCACAAUUCAGACAGCCCGGAAUAUCAAGAUUCAUCUUUUUCACUAAUUGUGGCAUUCACAUGUCUGCACACUGGAAAUUCUUCCUGGUUGUGAGACAAGACCUCAGACUUAUCUGAGCUAAGGGGAAGAAAGACUGCAACAGUGUUGGGCCUGUGGGUACACAGAAGUCAAGAAUUGAAGAUUGGAAACCUCCACCUAGAUUUCAGAGGACAUAUGGAAAUGCCUGGAUAUCUAGGCAGAAGUCUGCUACAGGGGCAGAGCCCUCAUGGAGAACCUCUACUAGGGCAGUGUGGAAAGAAAAGGUGGGGUUGGAGACUCCACACAGAGUCCCCACUGGCACACUGCCUAGUGGAGCUGUGAGAACAGGGCCACCAUUCUCCAGACCUCAGAAUGGUAGAUCAAAUGACAACUUGCACCAUGCACCAGGAAAAGCCACAAGCUCUCAAUAUCAGCCUGUGAAGGAGCUGCCUAAGGCCAUGGGAACCCACCUCUCCCAUCAGCAUGCCCCCGAUAUGAGACAUGGCGCCAAAGGAGAUUAUUUCAGAGAUUUAAGAUUUAAUGACUGCCCCACUGGAUUUUGGACUUGUGCAGGGCCUAUAGCCCCUUUGUUUUGGCCAAUUUCUCUCAUUUGGAAUGGGAGCAUUUACCCAAUGCCUGUAUCCCCAUUGUAUCUAGGAAGGAACUAACUUGUUUUUGAUUUUACAGGCUUAUAGGCAGAAGGGACUUGCCUUUUCUCAGAUGAGACUUUGGAUUAUGGACUUUGAGUUAAUGCUGAAAUCAUUUAAAAUUUUGGGGGACUGUUGCGUAGGCAUGAUUGGUUGGGAAAUGUAAAAAGACAAGAGAUUUGGAUGGGCUGGGGCAGAAUGAUAGGGUUUGGCUCUGUGUCCCCACCCAAACCUUAUCUCGAAUUGUAAUUCUUAUGUGUUGAGGGAGGGAACUAUAAUCUCCACAUGUUGAGAGAGGGAGGUGAUUGGAUCAUGGGGGCAGUUUCCCCCAUGCUGUUCUCAUGAUAGUGAGUGAGUUCUCAUGAGAUCUGAUGGUUUUAAAGAUGUUUUGAAGUUCCUCCUUUUCUUUCUCUUGCUGCACUGUGAAGAAGGUGCUUGUUUCCCCUUUGCCUUAUGCCAUCAUUGUAAGUUUCUGAGGCCUCCCUAGCUAUGUGGAACUGUAGUCAAUUAAACCUAUUUCCUUUAUAAAUGACCCAGUCUUGGGUAUUUCUUUAUAGCAGUGUGAAAAUGAAC
rnacentral:lncRNA from 10 species